rnacentral:rRNA from 1 species
UACGGAGGGUGCAAGCGUUAUCCGGAUUCACUGGGUUUAAAGGGUGCGUAGGUGGGUUGGUAAGUCAGUGGUGAAAUCUCCAGGCUUAACUUGGAAACUGCCAUUGAUACUAUCAAUCUUGAAUACCGUGGAGGUCAGCGGAAUAUGUCAUGUAGCGGUGAAAUGCUUAGAUAUGACAUAGAACACCAAUUGCGAAGGCAGCUGGCUACACGAAUAUUGACACUGGAUACACGAAAGCGUGGGGAUCAAACAGG